UUCGCCACAGCCCUUCAAGAGUUGGUCCAACAACACAAGGCCUCCAUCAGCGAAGUUCGCCAACUCUGUACGUACAGACUGACCCUAAGGUGGGGUCGGAUCCAAGGCGACAUGCCCGGGAGGGACGAAGCGGAUUUAAUGUUCGAUUGGGAUCAAGGGUCCGUGUACCGCCGGCUGGUAGAGGGACUGUGUGAACGGGCCAGGGGGGCGUUCCCCAUGGUUAGAGAUUGGACCGCUAUUCGAAAGAUCAAACAAACAGAAGGCGAGACGGUGGCUGACUUGAUGGACCGCGUUGAAAAGGUGUUUAAGAUCCACGGGGGAGUGCCUGUACCAACCGACCGGGUGGUUCAGACUCCGUACGAAGAAAAUCUCACCGCGGCCUUCCUGGAUGCGUUGGCCGACAAAAUAUCGGAAUUCAUAGAGACACACUGCAUUGGGUGGCGUACCGCCAGACUUGAUUUGAUUAUAAGUCACGCAACCCACGCAGAAAAUCUCUUCAUGAAGAAAGAAAAGUUCGAGAAGAAUAGAAAAGAAGAGAUAACCAAGAAGCUCCAGCUCGCCCAACUGGAGGCCCUGGAGAAUCCUAAGCCAACCCGUCGCGACAAAGACCAAGGAACCGACCGGCCAGAAGAGAGAAAGUCCCGUGGAGUAAUCAACCGGGACUGUUUGUAUUGUGGCUCCAAUGAUCAUUGGUUAAAAGAUUGUCCCAUUAGAAAUGGGGAAAACGAUGAAGCGGACGGCUGGGAAACCGCACCUUCCCGUGAAGUGACUGUGAAUCAUCCAAGAGGCGGAGGUGAAGGGGGGAUUUCGCAUUGACGGGACGCCGGAGCAGGACAGGUCCAAGGAGGAGCCCGACCAGUGGCCCAAUACAGUGCAAAUACCCCACGUCACAACUCCUCUGCAUCAGACUUUAUGAAGUUACAGACCAUGGGAGGCCCACCUGAAGAGCUACGGAACGGUCUGCUGGACGACACAAGGAGACAGUCCAGCAGGACCAAAGCACCAGAGUGGUGGCCUCCAUGGUGCCUGUGUAGCCACAUUGAAGUGGCCUGAACAUUGAGACAAAGGAGGGUCUCAGAGACGGGAGAGACGUGGGGACAGGCACUUCAAAGGACAGCCCGUGAUGCAAAUGAGAGGCAGAAAGCA
ensembl:lncRNA